rnacentral:rRNA from 1 species
UACGUAGGGGGCUAGCGUUGUCCGGAAUCAUUGGGCGUAAAGCGCGUGUAGGCGGUCCGGUAAGUCCGCUGUGAAAGUCGGGGGCUCAACCCUCGAAAGCCGGUGGAUACUGUCGGGCUCGAGUACGGAAGAGGCGAGUGGAAUUCCUGGUGUAGCGGUGAAAUGCGCAGAUAUCAGGAGGAACACCAAUUGCGAAGGCAGCUCGCUGGGACGUUACUGACGCUGAGACGCGAAAGCGUGGGGAGCGAACAGG